rnacentral:rRNA from 1 species
GGUUGCGAUCAUACCAGCACUAAUGCACCGGAUCCCAUCAGAACUUCGCAGUUAAGCGUGUUUGGGCGAGAGUAGUACUAGGAUGGGUGACCCCCUGGGAAGUCCUCGUGUUGCAACCC